CAAUAGCGUAUAUUAAAGUUGUUGCGGUUAAAAAGCUCGUAGUUGGAUUUCUGCCGAGGACGACCGGUCCGCCCUCUGGGUGUGUAUCUGGUUUGGCCUGGGCAUCUUCUUGGAGAACGUAGCUGCACUUGACUGUGUGGUGCGGUGUCCAGGACUUUUACUUUGAGGAAAUUAGAGUGUUUCAAGCAGGCACACGCCUUGAAUACAUUAGCAUGGAAUAAUAAGAUAGGACCUCGGUUCUAUUUUGUUGGUUUCUAGAGCUGAGGUAAUGAUUAAUAGGGAUAGUUGGGGGCAUUCGUAUUUAACUGUCAGAGGUGAAAUUCUUGGAUUUGUUAGAGACGGACUACUGCGAAAGCAUUUGCCAAGGAUGUUUUCAUUGA
rnacentral:rRNA from 1 species